UAAAAAUAUAAGUAUGUAUAAGUGCAAGCUUGUGAUUGUACAUUGAGCAUUAAAUUUGAUCUACUGUUUCGAGAUUUUUUUGCUACAAUGUAUCGUCUGCUUUCGUAGAACAUGUAGAAGCAUGAUUUUCGUUAGUAGCUCGCAAAGCGUGUAACACAAGUGUGCUAUUAUUUCUUUUGCUUAAAUUGGAUUGUGAUCGAUUGCAAUGGUGAUACGAUUCGUAGAUUUGUUCAAACUAGGUGAGAAACCUUCUAUUGAGGUAAUCACCUUUGCACAAAGAUACGGACUUAUGAGUCCUAUGAGCUAUGGCUCGGACUUUCAAGUGUCCAGUGUGCGAUAAGAACAUGAUUCAAUGCAAUGCUGAAUUUCUUUCGGAAAAAUAUCGUUGGCAAUGUCAUAGUUGCAAAACAACGAGAUCAGUGAGAACUGGUUCGUUUUUUGGCAAAUCGAAGUUAUCAAUGAUCGAAAUUUUACAAUUGACAUAUUUUUGGAUUCAUAAGUACACCCAGAUUCAGGCUCAGUGAGAAUUUCAAUGUUCCCCGGUCACGACGGUCGACUGGUACCAUUUCUGUCGGUUAUGGUUCAUUUUUUUUCUAAUAGGUGGCGUGACUGUUCCAUGCGAUUCACAUUAUAUCCGGCAGAUGGCGUUACCUCAAAAAACCUAAGUCACUAGCAGCCAACUUCAGUUCGGAGUCGUAUACUGCAAUUUUACCCAGUUUGGAAAACUGGAUAUCUUCCUUAUCGAUAAUGGUGCCACCUGAACGAAGAGAACUACUUUCACAACCGUCCACGUUCCGACCUUCUGAAACUCUCCAAGAAAAAAAAAACAGGGUAUUCUAGCAGUUCCAAUUGAUUGUCCUUGAGCUUGAUCUUUGCCUCUACAGCAGCUAGCGAGCAAGACCGUCGUGACGAAUGAGCCCUGACCUAACCUAUUCUAGGCUAUGUCUCCGUCCUCCACAUACAGACAAAGCCUAGGAGAGGCUAAAUCAAGCGACUCUCAAAUUCAACUCUACAACAACGACGUAGCGUAGUUACGCUAUGAGAAUAUAAAACUAAUCCGAAGAAGGUGCUUAGAAUUUGAUGCUGUUCCUGACGAUGUAUUAGGCGGUGGUUGAGAAGUGUAAGCAUCAUGGAACGGGAUUCUCUUGGUGGGUCAACCAAUGGCGAAAGCAUGUCACGCCUAAAAAUACAUCCAGUGACGGCAGGUAAACGCGAAAAGGUCCAAAGGAAUGACGAUAAAAUAUACUGAGGUGGAUUUUCAGAUUUUGAAAUAUUGAAUACACCAAGUCUCUUGUCUUGUGACUCAGGACACCAGUAUAUCUGCGGGAGGAUGGUCAAUUGCGGUUUAUUCGAAAAAUUGUCUUCUGGGAUCUGCACCAAGCAAAUGUUUCUUCUGUGUAAAAACCACGUGCGGCGUCCACGGUUGCACCCAUGGGAAAGUCAAGCCUCUCCUUAUUCCAGUAACGCGUUACGAAGACUAUGCGGGUAACAGAGAAAGAACCUCAUGAGUCUGGGGAACGUGCGAGGCGUGCGAGCACACGAGAACCUGGUGUGUGCACCCACUAACCACACUUAACCACUGCCCAGGAGAGCAGCACCGUUUCCACUCAGGUUACUCCGAGAUGUAUGCGUGACGAUAAUACAUGUAUCUACAUAUUAAAGCACGCGAGGAGAACGAGAAGCAUCUUCCUUGGUCUUCUGGUGGGGCAGCGCCAAGGAGUCAAACCUGGUGCCCCGCAUAACCCUCUCGCGAGGUCCAAAGGUGGGAUAUCUGGUGGGAUGGGGAUGAAUGAAUCUACAAUGGGUAUUCAUCAUUGUCAUUUGACUAUCUUACAGUUGUUGUUGAGGGAAAAAAAAAGAAAUUUGAAUUUGAGAACCGCACCUUGGGGUCUUAGACAAGUUUAUUUAUCUAUGACUACCUCGUCCUAUGGAUCCUGCCAGUUAAAAUUACGUGCACAUUGUAUCGGAUGGUUAAUGCGGAUCAGCACUGGCAAAACAUUCCGCAUUCCUCGCGAACCAGCGAGACAAAGAUGGCCGCGGACGCUGAACGAUAAUUUAUUAACUAGUCCGGCCAGUCGAAUCCCAACAGCAAAUGGCUCGGACUCGCACUACUCCAUCCGAAG